rnacentral:lncRNA from 1 species
AACUGAAAUGGAACAGGGGCAGAAAAUAGCACACUUUUACUCUACGCAACUGUUGCUUUUUCAUGAUCUUCAGGAAUUUUACUGGGAUAAUUAUCCAAAUAAAUUGCAAGCAUUCUAUCCAAAUGGAGCUCUUUCUGAGAUGAAGAGAAUUCUCAAUGUCAAGAUUUGAACAAGAAGAGAAUGGAAUACACAAUAUGGACAUCCAUAAAAAUUCAUCAGAGAGCAUUUUACUACUGAGCUGCAAAGGGAAAAACUUAAAAUGGAUAUGAAAAGUGAAGAAAGUGAUCAUAGGAGAAAACCAUUUCAGAUGGAGUCUCGCUCUGCCGCCCAGGCUGGAGUGCAGUGGCGCUAUCUCAGCUCACUGCAGGCCCCGCCUCCCGGGUUCACGCCAUUCUCCUGCCUCAGCCUCCUGAGUAGCUGGGACUACAUGCGCCCGCCACCACGCCUGGCUAAUUUUUUGUAUUGGUAGAGACGGGGUUUCACCGUUCUAUGACAAGAGCACCUCAAAGGCAGCAGCCUCAAGGAGCAGCCAUGGCCCCAGACUUGUCGCACGGAUGCAGAAAACUUAAUGGAGGAGGCUGAGGUCAGAAUGGGAAGAGUUUUUAAAAAAUAAAAAGGGGAGCUAAUAUGUGAGGAACUGAUUGCUGUGCAUUAUUUUCCACUGAACAGACCUUCUUUUAACUUCUAAUCUCAAGCACAUAGCAGCUGUUGUUUUCAUAUUAAAGAUCAGUAAGUGUUUGUUGAAUGAAUGUAUAAAUUCUUCCCCAAUCUCUGUUCCAUGUAAUAAGAACUAAGUUAGCAUUCAAUUAUAAAGAGGACUUAGAAAGUCUGCAGACAUUUUUGAUCAAAAAUCCUUUUAACUGUCUUCUUAUGGUUCCCGGUAACACCUAAGCCCAAAAAACUCAGGUCAUUUCUUGCCUGUACUGUUGCAAUAGCCUCAUAAUAACUAGUCUUCUCCUUUAUCAACCACAGUCGUCUCCGCUACACAAAGAAGAGAGGGUGCUAAUCUAAAGUGUAAAUUAUUUUAAAUCAGCACCCUUCUUGUAAUUUCCCAGUGGUUUUUCCUGUCAUAAGAAUAACAUGCAAAAUUCCUUGCUUGCAAAGCCAGGUAUGACCUUGCCCCGUCUACCUUACUGGCAUCGUCUCUCAUGACUCUUCCCCUUUUUCACUCUCCAUCUUGCCUUUUCCCAACCAUGCCUGCUAGUGAGCCUUAGCCCUUGUGUUUUCUCUGCCAGGGAUGCAUGACUGGCUUCUUUACUUUAUUCUGAUCUCUCUGCUCAAAUGUCAUCUUUUUAGAGAUAGCUUUCCUAAACAUCUUUAAAAGUACCCCAUGAACUGUGAAACACCUUUCCUGCUUUUUCUUCAUAGUACUUAUCACUUCCUGAUAUUAUGUUAGACAACAAGCAAAUAAGUAUAUGCUGUUCCCACUAAAAUAUAAGCUCCAUUUGAACAGGAGCCUUGAUUAUUCCUGAGUAUACCCCUAGUGCCCAGAACCUAGUAGGGCUUUAAUAAAUAUUAGAUUCAUUUGUUGAAUGAAAAAAUGAAUGAAUAAUUGAAUAAAGAUAUCCAGGUAGAGUGUCCGGGCAGCCCAACCUAUGUGAAGCCAGUACAAGAAUGUUUCUGUGACAUAGUGAGCGCAAUUAUUCCUCUAAAUGAUGAACUUGCAUGAGUACACAAGGAUAAAAUUAAGCACGUAGUUUAGAUUUCUGCAAGUCUCUUCCUCAGAUUGAGGAAAAACAAAGAAAUUGAGCUUAUUCUCACCUCAUUCUUACAUGAACUAAAUCCAGAAUAAAGCAUCAUUUAAAUACCAAGCACAUCCCUACCUCAGCCACUCAUGGAAUACUUUAUCUGUAAAGGGACAGAUAGAUAGUAAAUAUUUUUGGCUUUGGGGACCGUACAGUCUGUGUCGCCACUACUCAGCACUUCUGUUGAGGUGUGGAAUCAGCCCUAGACAACACAUAAACAAAUGGGUGUGGCUGUGUUCCAAUAAAAUGUUAUUUAUAAAACUAGGAAAUCAGCAGAUUUAGUCCACAGGCUGUAGUUUGCUGACCCUUGAAUUAGAGAGUCUUCCCCAAAUCCUCUUCCCAAGUUAUUGAAAGAAUGCCCAUAGGACCAUAGCUCCCUCACCUGGUUCUUUCAAGAAAUGAGACAAAUUCAGGGAUGGUUGGAGGGUGGAACGCCUACCUGUGACAUGACUAUUGAGCCUGAUUUCUUUCCUUUUAUCUCUUUAAAGUGAGUCAGGUCUUAACUUUAAACUGUCUCUAAAGUGGCAAUAACUGGGCCAUGUCAAAUACUCCCAAUGACAAAAUUUCUUCUUGGAGAAUGAAUGAGGGUUGCAUACAGUGGUGUGUUGGUAAAUGUUUAGCAACUGGCUCUCUUACUGAUUUCUGUAGUGUAAAUUCUCCCAUCCUGGCCAUCUGAAACUACCAAUAUGAUGUCACUUGAUGUAGAGUUGGGAAAAGACAGUCUCUUGAAUAAGUAUGAGCUGGUUCCAGCCCACUGCUGAACACAUAUUUAAAAGCUACAAUAGCUCUGCUCACUGCCAUUGCAGAGUCUGGAGGAAAGAGUAGCAGGCUUGAUAGGAGCAAUUGGCUGAAUAAUCUUUUGCAAUGCCAAUAAAUAAUGAAAAAGUAUAUAAAUAUAACGCUGUAUAGAAAGCUCUCAAGUUCAGUGUUUGGUUAAAAUACAUACUCAGUAAAUGGUAGCUAUUAUUGUCUUAGUUUAAGUUAUUGCAAGCAUUAAAAUUAAAUGUUUAGCUACAGACUCAAUCCAGUUUUAAUGUCAUUGUGUUAAUAAGGCCUCUUAACAUUGAAGCAACAAAGAUAAAGGAAUUUUUUUGUAGCUAUUCACGAUUCUGCCCAGCUCAAGGUAAAGAUAGCAACAAAAUACUCCAACCAGAAUAAAAGAAGUCUCCACUUGACUGCAGCUCUUCGCAACACUUCACAAGGGUCAAGCUGUGUUAGUUUCCUUCAGUGUUAAACAGAAUGCAUCUUAAGAGAAUAGUUCAAUUAUUGAUUGAAUAGUAGGUUCAAGUUGACUAUAAUCCCAACUAAUACACUCUAAGACCAGGGAUGGGCCGACAGAAGGGUAAAGUUUUCCACUCAAGUCUCGAGGCAAACACUCAGAUAGAAGUAGUAAUAUGGAUGCCUUCUAUUAUUUGGUCACAUACAAUACUGUUCCAGCCCAGUUGUGCAAAACUGGUGAAAUAAAAGGCAAAAAUAUUGACAACAGUUUGGGUAACUGGAUUCCAAAAUGGGCAUCCAUCUAAGAGAAAUUAAUGAAAAAAAAGCAUAUGGACCUUGAAAUACAUUAAUACACAGUUUAGGUUUAAACACUCAGUUUUUAUUAGAAAAGACUAACUUAUCCUGUUUUGAACACUACAAAAGUGCUUUCUGAACCAUUUACUCUCAAACCUCCUCCACCCAUUCCCCUCCAUCUAUAACGCUUUCUGCACAUCUGUAAAAGGUAUGACUUAGUGUUUGGUCUGUGAAAUAAGGUUAAAAAGGAAGCAUUUCUUUUUACAUUCUAGCUAAUGUUGAUAUUUUUCUCAUGCUUCUAUUAGCACAUAAUUCAGAUACAUUAGUUUUGAAGUUUUGAAUCUUCUCUGCUUCUUGAGGGCUCUCUGUUCUAGAUCAACAUGAUCUGUGGAACACCAGCCAAGUCCUGGGCAGAACCCUCCCCGUUGUCCAAAUAUUACUGAAUCAGUUGAGUUUUCUCUGUUGUCAAUGAAUUAUUCCACAUGUUUCUUUGGCUACAUUUUUUUUGGCUUUCUGUUCACAGUAAAUAUAGCCUUUGUUUUUAAAAACUUCUAUUAUGAAAAUUCCAAAUAUAUGCAAAUUAGAGAGAAUAGCAUAAUGAACCUCUAUGUGCUUAUCACACAUAUAGGUUCAACUAAUUAAAUUAUAUCAAUUUAUGGCCAAUCUGGUUUCAUUUAUAACAUCAUUCGCUCAUUCCUAACUCCCUGGAUUAUUUGAUUGACAUGUUUCUAAAGUUCCUUUUAAUCUGUAGGUUCCCCCUCUCAUUUAAUCUUUUGCAACUUAUUCAUUGAUGAAACUGGGUUAUUUGUCCUUUAUUGUUUCUCUCAUUCUGAAAUAUGCUGUAAUGUCAUUAACCAUAUUCUUCUUUCCUGUAUUUUCUGUAAGCUUUGAGCUAGGCAGAAAUAUUUUAAUCAGAUUCCUUUUUUUUUCUUUUAGCAAGAUUUCUUCAUAAAUAAUAUUGUAUGUGUUCAUGAAAAUAGAAAUAAAAAUAGAAAUAA